rnacentral:tRNA from 2 species
GCGUACAUCGUAUAAUGGCUAUUACCUCAGCCUUCCAAGCUGAUGAUGCGGGUUCGAUUCCCGCUGCCCGCUCCA